GACGAACGCUGGCGGCGUGCCUAAUACAUGCAAGUCGAGCGGACUUUCAAGAAGCUUGCUUUUUGAAAGUUAGCGGCGGACGGGUGAGUAACACGUGGGCAACCUGCCUGCAAGACGGGGAUAACUCCGGGAAACCGGGGCUAAUACCGGAUAAUAUCUUCCUUCGCAUGAAGGAAGGUUGAAAGGCGGCGCAAGCUGCCGCUUGCAGAUGGGCCCGCGGCGCAUUAGCUAGUUGGUGAGGUAACGGCUCACCAAGGCGACGAUGCGUAGCCGACCUGAGGGGGUGACGGCCCACACUGGGAGUGAGACACGCCCAAGACCCCGACGGGAGGCAGCAGGGGGGAUUCUCCCGAAAGGGACGAAAGUCUGACGGAGCAACGCGGCGUGAGCGAGGAGGGCCUUCGGAUGGAAAAGCUCGGUUGUGAGGGAAGAAAAGAUACAGUCCGAACAGGGAGACACCUUGAGGGUACCUGACAAGAAAGCCGCGGCUAACUACGUG
rnacentral:rRNA from 1 species